rnacentral:rRNA from 1 species
GAAUAUUGGACAAUGGGGGGAACCCUGAUCCAGCCAUGCCGCGUGUGUGAAGAAGGCCUUUUGGUUGUAAAGCACUUUAAGCGAGGAGGAGGCUACUCUAGUUAAUACCUAGAGAUUGUGGACGUUACUUCCGGAGUACGCACCGGAUAACUCUGGGCCAGCAGCCGCGGUAAUACAGAGGGUGAAAGCGUUAAUCGGAUUUACUGGGCGUAAAGCGCGCGUAGGUGGCCAAUUAAGUCAAAUGUGAAAUCCCCGAGCUUAACUUGGGAAUUGCAUUCGAUACUGGUUGGCUAGAGUAUGGGAGAGGAUGGUAGAAUUCCAGGUGUAGCGGUGAAAUGCGUAGAGAUCUGGAGGAAUACCGAUGGCGAAGGCAGCCAUCUGGCCUAAUACUGACACUGAGGUGCGAAAGCAUGGGGAGCAAACA